rnacentral:rRNA from 1 species
UACGGGGUGGCAGCAGGCGCGAAACCUUUACACUGCACGACAGUGCGAUAGGGGGAUCCCAAGUGCACAGGCAUAGCGCCUGUGCUUUUCGGUACCCUAAGGCGGUACCAGAAUAAGGGCUGGGCAAGACCGGUGCCAGCCGCCGCGGUAAUACCGGCAGCCCAAGUGAUGGCCGAUCUUAUUGGGCCUAAAGCGUCCGUAGCUGGCCACGCAAGUCCAUCGGGAAAUCCACCUGCCCAACAGGUGGGCGCCCGGUAGAAACUGCGUGGCUUGGGACCGGAAGGCGCGACGGGUACGUCCGGGGUAGGAGUGAAAUCCCGUAAUCCUGGACGGACCGCCGAUGGCGAAAGCACGUCGCGAGAACGGAUCCGACAGUGAGGGACGAAAGCCAGGGUCUCGAACCGGAUUAGAUACCCGGGUAGUCCUGGCCGUAAACAAUGCCUGCUAGGUGUGGCUCCCACUACGAGUGGGUGCUGUGCCGUAGGGAAGCCGCUAAGCAGGCCGCCUGGGAA